rnacentral:rRNA from 1 species
AGCCAUUAGACGAUAUUUUAUGGUUAAACCUGCCCAAUGUUAGUGAUAAUGAAUGGCCGCGGUACCCUGACCGUGCUAAGGUAGCGUAAUCAGUUGGCUUUUAAAUGGAGUCAGGAAUGAAUGGGAAAACCGGGUUUAGCUGUCUCCCAACUAUUUUCUUGAAUUUACUGUUUAAGUGAAAAAGCUUAAAAAUGAUAAAGGGACGAGAAGACCCUUAGAAUUUUUUUUAAAAUGGAAAUUUUUCUAUAAUAAUUUUGUUGGGGCGACAGAGAAAUAUUUAAAACUUUCUUUAAAUUUACAUGCCGAUAUUGUUAAGUAAGAAUAAAUUACCUGAGGGAUAACAGCAUAAUUCUAUAGUUGAGUUUGUGACCUCGAUGUUGGACUAGGAAACUAACAGGCUAGCCGUUUGUUGUGUGGGUUCUGUUCGAACUCUAAUUCCU